rnacentral:rRNA from 1 species
UACAUGGGGUGCAAGCGUUGCUCGGAAUUAUUGGGCGUAAAGCGCACGUAGGUGGUCUGUUAUGUCAGAUGUGAAAGCCCUCGGCUUAACUGAGGAAGUGCACCUGAAACUGGCAGGCUUGAGUACGAAAGAGGGUCGCGGAAUUCCCGGUGUAGAGGUGAAAUUCGUAGAUAUCGGGAGGAACACCGGUGGCGAAGGCGGCGACCUGGUUCGAUACUGACACUGAGGUGCGAAAGCGUGGGGAGCAAACGGG